rnacentral:rRNA from 1 species
UCUGGAAACUNUCUGACUUGAGUGCAGAAGGGGAGAGUGGAAUUCCAUGUGUAGCGGUGAAAUGCGUAGAUAUAUGGAGGAACACCAGUGGCGAAAGCGGCUCUCUGNUCUGUCACUGACGCUGAGGCUCGAAAGCGUGGGUAGCGAACAGGAUUAGAUACCCUGGUAGUNCACGCCGUAAACGAUGAGUGCUAGGUGUUAGGCCCUUUCCGGGGCUUAGUGCCGGAGCUAACGCAAUAAGCACUCCGCCUGGGGAGUACGACCGCAAGGUUGAAACUCAAAGGAAUUGACGGGGGCCCGCACAAGCGGUGGAGCAUGUGGUUUAAUUCGAAGCAACGCGAAGAACCUUACCAGGUCUUGACAUCCCGAUGCUAUUCUUAGAGAUAGGAAGUUACUUCGGUACAUCGGAGACAGGUGGUGCAUGGUUGUCGUCAGCUCGUGUCGUGAGAUGUUGGGUUAAGUCCCGCAACGAGCGCAACCCUUAUUGUUAGUUGCCAUCAUUAAGUUGGGCACUCUAGCGAGACUGCCGGUAAUAAACCGGAGGAAGGUGGGGAUGACGUCAAAUCAUCAUGCCCCUUAUGACCUGGGCUACACACGUGCUACAAUGGUCGGUACAACGAGUUGCGAGCCGGUGACGGCAAGCUAAUCUCUGAAAGCCGAUCUCAGUUCGGAUUGGAGGCUGCAACUCGCCUCCAUGAAGUCGGAAUCGCUAGUAAUCGCGGAUCAGCACGCCGCGGUGAAUACGUUCCCGGGCCUUGUACACACCGCCCGUCACACCACGAGAGUUUGUAACACCCGAAGUCGGUGAGGUANCCUUUUAGGG